AUUGGACGCUGGCGGCAUGCCUUACACAUGCAAGUCGAACGGCAGCACGGGUGCUUGCACCUGGUGGCGAGUGGCGAACGGGUGAGUAAUACAUCGGAACAUGUCCUGUAGUGGGGGAUAGCCCGGCGAAAGCCGGAUUAAUACCGCAUACGAUCUACGGAUGAAAGCGGGGGACCUUCGGGCCUCGCGCUAUAGGGUUGGCCGAUGGCUGAUUAGCUAGUUGGUGGGGUAAAGGCCUACCAAGGCGACGAUCAGUAGCUGGUCUGAGAGGACGACCAGCCACACUGGGACUGAGACACGGCCCAGACUCCUACGGGAGGCAGCAGUGGGGAAUUUUGGACAAUAGGCGAAAGCCUGAUCCAGCAAUGCCGCGUGUGUGAAGAAGGCCUUCGGGUUGUAAAGCACUUUUGUCCGGAAAGAAAUCCUUGGCCCUAAUACGGUCGGGGGAUGACGGUACCGGAAGAAUAAGCACCGGCUAACUACGUG
rnacentral:rRNA from 1 species